UUGACUGGUCUCGCUGAUCCCUCCCUCUUGACGAGCUGUGAUGCCAUUAAUUUGGUGUCACCGGGGAUCAGGACUGUUACUUUGAACAAAUUAAAGUGUUUAAAGCAGGCUUUCUCCUGAAUACAUUAGCAUGGAAUAAUGAAAUAGGACGUUUGAUCCUAUUUUGUUGGUUUCUAGGAUUGACGUAAUGAUUAAUAAGGAUAGUUGGGGGCAUAGUAUUCAAUUGUCAGAGGUGAAAUUCUUGGAUUUAUUGAACACUAACUACUGCGAAAGCAUUUGCCUGGAUGUUUUCAUUAAUCAAGAACGAAAGUUAGGGGAUCGAAGACGAUCAGAUACCGUCGUGGUCUUAACCAUAAACUAUGCCGACUAGGGAUCGGAUGAUGUUAAUUUUUUAAUGACUCAUUCGGCGCCUUACC
rnacentral:rRNA from 1 species